rnacentral:Y_RNA from 1 species
CCCUGGUCCCAGUGCGGUGGUGUUUACAAUGAGUUGAACACAACCAGUUACAGAUCCCUUUGUUCCUUCUCCACUCCGACUGCUUCACUUCACCAGUCUUAA